GGGAUUGUAGCUCAGUGGUUAGAGUGCUUGUCUAGCACACAUAAAGACCUGGAUUCGAUCCUCAGCACCA
rnacentral:tRNA from 1 species